AAAUAUUUAACGAAUCUCCCUUCCCCUUGAACAUAUAUCCCCCCACCUCUCUCUCUCUCUCUCUUUCUCACGACAUCAAGCACUUGCAAAAAGAAUGGAAACUCAAAUUCACAUUUCUCUGUUUCAAAAAUCUCUUAUAAAGCAAAAACACAAAAGGAGUCAAAAUGAUUUCGCCAAUCCCUUAGUGUGAACACAUGAUGAACUUCUAUGACAUUCAUCAUUCAUGAAACUCGGAUUUCAGAAAGCCCAGAUCCAAACCAAAAAAACAUAAACCUAAACCAUCAUUAUUUCGUCCCUUCAUCAACGAUAAACCAACAAUAUUAUUGAGAAAACAACAUACAAUCAGAUCGGAAAUCCCAAAUUUGAAACAUAAUCCCAAUAAGGAAACAACCUUAUCCAUAAUCAAUUAGUUAAAAUAAGCAGCUAUGCAUAAUACAUUUAAUAAACAAAAAAAGCCAAGAAAAGCAACUAGAAGAAAUUCGGUUAAAGCUUCUGAUUUUGACACGGCGAUGAAAUCUCAGAGUUGAAUAUGAGGUCUUCAGAUCACGUAUGGACCAUGAGCUGGCGAAAAUGCAACAAAUCAUUUCGUUAGAAAAGAAUCUUCCUUAGAUUUGGUGUGGUCCCAAAAUGAUGGUGGCUGCAACAUGCUAUUAGAUGGUGACUUGCACAUUUAGAGGGAGCUUAAAAUGGCAUGGAAAAAAAAUGCAGGAAAAUGGCCUUAAGCAAGUACCAUGGCCAAACAACAUACAACAUCAAACUUUGAGGCUUUCCUUGUAAUGCAAUUAUGUCCUUAGAUCAUAAACCAUAAAUUAUAUGGUCCAUAGAUUAUAGGAUUUAUUAAAGUAGUUUGUAUGCUUAUGCUUUGGUUAGGUUUUAAGUGUUGUUAUGGAAGUAUAUAAUGGCAAUGUUGGGAAAAUUAUUUGGUUUGGAAUAUUAUGGUAUUGAAAUAAACAUGUAAUUGAUUAACUUAUGUUUGUAAUGCAAUGGUGUCCCAUACGACUCAUAUUAGUUCUAA